rnacentral:rRNA from 1 species
GCGUGCAGGAUGAAGGCCUUCGGGUUGUAAACUGCUUUUGUACAGAACGAAACGGCUCUUUCUAAUACAAGGGGCUAAUGACGGUACUGUAAGAAUAAGCACCGGCUAACUACGUGCCAGCAGCCGCGGUAAUACGUAGGGUGCGAGCGUUAAUCGGAAUUACUGGGCGUAAAGCGUGCGCAGGCGGUUAUGUAAGACAGAUGUGAAAUCCCCGGGCUCAACCUGGGACCUGCAUUUGUGACUGCAUAGCUAGAGUACGGUAGAGGGGGAUGGAAUUCCGCGUGUAGCAGUGAAAUGCGU